UCAAGUGACUAAGUGUAUGUGGUGGAUGCCUUGGCGAUCACAGGCGAAGAAGGACGUAGUAGCUUGCGAUAAGCUGCGGGGAGCCGGCAAACGGGCAUUGAUCCGCAGAUUUCCGAAUGGGGGAACCCACCGACGAAAGUCGGUAUCACACACUGAAUACAUAGGUGUGUGAGGCGAACGGAGCGAACUGAAACAUCUAAGUAGCUCCAGGAAAAGAAAUCAACCGAGAUUGCGAAAGUAGCGGCGAGCGAAAUUGCAGCAGCCCAGUGUUCUGAUAGCACGAACGACAGCAGAAGGGUCUGGAAAGGCCUGCUAUAGAGGGUGAUAGCCCCGUAUGCGAAAUCGAACGUGUGGUACUAAGGAACCGAUAAGUAGGGCGGGACACGUGACAUCCUGUCUGAAGAUGGGGGGACCAUCCUCCAAGGCUAAAUACUCGUGAUCGACCGAUAGUGAACCAGUACUGUGAAGGAAAGGCGAAAAGAACCCCGGGAGGGGAGUGAAAUAGAACCUGAAACCGCAUACAUACAAACAGUAGGAGCCCGUGUAGUCGGGUGACUGCGUACCUUUUGCAUAAUGGGUCAGCGACUUACGUUUUGUGGCGAGCUUAACCGAGUAGGGGAGGCGUAGCGAAAGCGAGUUCGAAUAGAGCGAGAAGUCUCAAGGCGUAGACCCGAAACCAGAUGAGCUAUCCAUGGCCAGGUUGAAGGUGUGGUAACACACACUGGAGGACCGAACCGACUAGUGUUGCAAAAUUAGCGGAUGAGCUGUGGAUAGGGGUGAAAGGCUUAACAAAUCUGGAGAUAGCUGGUUCUCCCCGAAAACUAUUGAGGUAGUGCCUCGUGUAUUGCUCCAGGGGGUAGAGCACUGUUAUGGCUAGGGGGACAUGGCGUCUUACCAAACCAUGGCAAACUCCGAAUACUUGGAAGUAAGAGCACGGGAGACAGAGCACCGGGUGCUAACGUCCGGACUCAAGAGGGAAACAACCCAGACCGCCGUUUAAGGUCCCAAAUAUUGACUAAGUGGAAAACGAAGUGUGAAGGCUAAGACAGUCAGGAAGUUGGCUUAGAAGCAGCCAUCCUUCAAAGAAAGCGUAAUAGCUCACUGAUCGAGUCCUCAUGCGCGGAAGAUGUAACGGGGCUAAGUCAAUAACCGAAAGCGCGGAUUUGCACGAUAAGUGCAAGUGGUAGGGGAGCGUUCUGUAAGCCUGCGAAGGUGGUUCGAGAGGACUGCUGGAGGUAUCAGAAGUGCGAAUGCUGACAUGAGUAACGUUAAAGCGGGUGAAAAGCCCGCUCGCCGUAAGCCCAAGGUUUCCUGCUCUACGUUCAUCGGAGCAGGGUGAGUCGGCCCCUAAGGCCAGGCUGAGAAGCGUAGUCGAUGGGAAGCAGAUUAAUAUUUCUGCACCAUGUGCAAGUGCGAUGGGGGGACGGAGUGCGAAAGAUCAUCCGGGUGUUGGAUGUCCCGGUUUGUGAGUGUAGAAGGCCGACAGGCAAAUCCGUCGGCGGAUCUUCGAGACAAAGCAUCGAGGUUCUACGGAACCGAAGUGAUCGGAAGUGCUUCCAGGAAAAGCCUCUAAGCUUCAGCUUGCAUGUGACCGUACCGUAAACCGACACUGGUGGGCGAGUUGAAUAUACUCAGGCGCUUGAGAGAACUCGGGAGAAGGAACUCGGCAAAUUGACACCGUAACUUCGGGAUAAGGUGUGCCUUUGUAGCGUGAAGAGAGAAACACUCGGAGCGUGAAGAGGCCUCAGAGAAUCGGUGGCUGCAACUGUUUAUUAAAAACACAGCACUCUGCAAAGACGAAAGUCGACGUAUAGGGUGUGAUGCCUGCCCGGUGCUGGAAGAUUAAGUGAUGGGGUGAGAGCUCCUGAUCGAAGUCCCAGUAAACGGCGGCCGUAACUAUAACGGUCCUAAGGUAGCGAAAUUCCUUGUCGGGU
rnacentral:rRNA from 1 species